rnacentral:rRNA from 1 species
UACGUAGGUGGCGAGCGUUGUCCGGAUUUACUGGGCGUAAAGGGAGCGUAGGCGGACUUUUAAGUGAGAUGUGAAAUACCCGGGCUCAACUUGGGUGCUGCAUUUCAAACUGGAAGUCUAGAGUGCAGGAGAGGAGAAUGGAAUUCCUAGUGUAGCGGUGAAAUGCGUAGAGAUUAGGAAGAACAUCAGUGGCGAAGGCGAUUCUCUGGACUGUAACUGACGCUGAGGCUCGAAAGCGUGGGGAGCAAACAGGAUUAGAUA